GCAAGAUUAAAACGCUAAAAGAACAAGUGCACCUCAUGCACAGAUUCUUUGUGAAGUAGCAAGGUAUGUGAACAAAAAUUUCUUGGACAGUGUGAGAGGGGCAAUGCAUCUACAACCACUACAAAAAUAUAGGAGACAAUGGCCAAAUACAAUUUCAACAAUUUGCCUUCAGUAUAUAUUUCACAAGACUUAAAAUGCUUAAAGGUGCUCGUGCACAGCUUCUUUGUGAAGCAGCAAGGUAUGUGAACAAAAAUUUCUUGGACAGUGUGAGAGGGGCAAUGCAUCUACAACCACUACAAAAAUAUAGGAGACAAUGGCCAAAUACAAUUUCAACAAUUUGCCUUCAGUAUAUAUUUCACAAGACUUAAAAUGCUUAAAGGUGCUCGUGCACAGCUUCUUUGUGAAGCAGCAAGGUAUCUGAACGAAGAUUUCUUGGACACUCUGAGAGUGCAAAUGCUUCUACAACCACUGCAAAAACAUGGGAGACAAUGGCCAAACACAAUUUCAACAAUUUGCCUUCAGUCCUUACUUUUCAAGACUUAAAACACUUAAAA